GCCUGGUUAGCUCAGCUGGCUUUAGAGCAGGUGUUUAGUAAUCAUCAGGUCGGGAGUUCGAAUCUCUCACCAGGCG
rnacentral:tRNA from 1 species